rnacentral:rRNA from 1 species
AUUGAACGCUGGCGGCAGGCCUAACACAUGCAAGUCGAGCGAGCGGCGGACGGGUGUGUAAUGUAUGGGGACUGCCCGAUAGAGGGGGAUAACUACUGGCAAAGGUAGCUAAUACAGCAUACUAUCGGAUAACCCAUAUGGGAUUAGCUAGUAGGUGUGGUAAUGGCUCACCUAGGCGACGAUCCCUAGCUGGUGUGUGAGGAUGACCAGCCACACUGGGACUGAGACACGGCCCAGACUCCUACGGAGGCAGCAGUGGGGAAUAUUGGACAAUGGGCGAAACCCUGAUACAGCCAUGCCGCGUGUAUGAAGAAGGCCCUAGGGUUGUAAAGUACUUUCAGUCGGGAGGCGUUACCGACAGAAGAAGCACCGGCUAACUCCGUGCCAGCAGCCGCGGUAAUAC